GAUGAACGCUGGCGGCGUGCCUAACACAUGCAAGUCGAGCGGCAGCGAGGGGUGCUUGCACCCUGUCGGCGAGCGGCGGACGGCUGAGUAACGCGUGGGAACGUGCCCCAAAGUGAGGAAUAACUGCCCGAAAGGGUAGCUAAUACCGCAUAUUAUCUUCGGAUCAAAGGAUUUACCCGCUUUGGGAGCGGCUCGCGUCGGAUUAGGUAGUUGGUGAGGUAAUGGCUCACCAAGCCGACGAUCCGUAGCUGGUCUGAGAGGAUGACCAGCCAGACUGGAACUGAGACACGGUCCAGACUCCUACGGGAGGCAGCAGUGAGGAAUCUUCCACAAUGGGCGAAAGCCUGAUGGAGCAACGCCGCGUGCAGGACGAAGGCCUUCGGGUUGUAAACUGCUUUUAUAAGUGAGGAAUAUGACGGUAACUUAUGAAUAAGGAUCGGCUAACUACGUG
rnacentral:rRNA from 1 species